rnacentral:tRNA from 2 species
GGGGUGUUAGCUCAGUAGGUUUAGAGCAGUUGACUUUUAAUCAAUUGGUCGUGGGUUCGAUUCCCGCACACCUCA